UCCUACGGGAGGCAGCAGUCGGGAAUAUUGCGCAAUGGAGGAAACUCUGACGCAGUGACGCCGCGUGCAGGAAGAAGGUUUUCGGAUUGUAAACUGCUUUAGACAGGGAAGAAACAAAUGACAGUACCUGUAGAAUAAGCUCCGGCUAACUACGUGCCAGCAGCCGCGGUAAU
rnacentral:rRNA from 1 species